UACGGAGGGUGCAAGCGUUAUCCGGAUUUAUUGGGUUUAAAGGGUCCGUAGGCGGAUCUGUAAGUCAGUGGUGAAAUCUCAUAGCUUAACUAUGAAACUGCCAUUGAUACUGCAGGUCUUGAGUAAGGUAGAAGUAGCUGGAAUAAGUAGUGUAGCGGUGAAAUGCAUAGAUAUUACUUAGAACACCAAUUGCGAAGACAGGUUACUAUGUCUUAACUGACGCUGAUGGACGAAAGCGUGGGGAGCGAACAGG
rnacentral:rRNA from 1 species